GACGAACGAUCCAUGUGUGGUUGUGUGAGAAGUCUGUCGGUUACAUGUCGGAACCGGAAUUAUUCUUUUAUUGGAAUUUCACACUUCGUUUUAGAAUUGCUCUAUCGAUAGUCGUGAUUUGGUUAAGAAGAUCAAAGAAUGUUUUGAUAGAGAGCGGUGCCAAGAGUUUUCAUAAAAGAUGACGACAUCACCAUAGGUGUAUCGUGCUACGAGAAAUGUCGAAAUCAGUCAUCGUCUCGUUUGGAUUCGCCUCAUGUCCGAUUACGAACCGGUGCAUCGUGUUUUCGUGAUGUUUCACGUUGAUCAACAAUGACAUCAGCGUUAAGGUUGCAAUUUUGAUUAGUCAUUCAGAUUACUGUAAUUGCAAGAUGAAGUCUAAUAAGAAAUAAAAUAUGACAUAGAAGCCUCUAGAAAUCAGUCAAAUUCAUCUCGACAAUUUGAAUCGAAGCCACGAUUUAGUAAGAUAUUAUCUAAAAGAAGAGGAAGAACUGUCGACAUCAUUGUAUAAGUUGUUUGCCAAAUUGUUCUUUGCUUGUCUUAUUAAUGUCGUGUAUAACAAUUGUUCCAGAAAGCCCUAACGUCUGCAAAUAUCAGCCCGGAAGCGGAAUUUCAGAAUACGUGGAGAGCUGACGAUGUCAAUGUCAAGUUUCGUACGCGCAACGCGUUUCUUUUCCCACGAUGACAUCAUCGUAGCUAAUAAUGAACGGCGUUUAACACAAGGUGCAAUCACCAGCCGGCGGUCGUGGUAUUUUCAAGACGGAACAGAACAUUUACGAAACACGUUGCGCUCUGUAUCGUUGCGCGCUGACUAAUACGAGAUUAAAUAAGAAAAGAAUAGCAGCUCAGUUAAUUAUUUUCAUUCGAUCUUUUUCACUUUCAAUAUUCACGAAAUAGAUAAUAUCUGUUUAAACGUGUGCUACAUAAAUUAAUACGAUACGAUAUUUCGAAUAAUCGAGAUUUCUCUACGAACGAGAGAAAAAUUGCAACUUAUGCAAAUCUGGUCAUUCGAAUUCUCUGAAUUUGCGCAACGCGGCGUUACAUAGAAACUGCACUUUGAAAUAUUUGCAAGACGAUCGUUAUCGCUUUUGAAACAUCGCGGCCGGCAGCAAGUUCCGGAAGUAUCUCGUGCACGUGAUGCAAUCCUUAUGCGGGCAUGCGACUCGAUCCAACGUGCUCCAGCACAGAGAUAUUUCCGUAACACCGAUCAAAUGAUCCACUCUUUGCAGGAUCUAUCCACCAUAUUCCAACGAAGCACUAUCCUCUUGAAACAUUCUAACACCAAAGGACACUCGGACGAAUCAAACAAAAGUCCCUAUCCAAAUUAUCAUCUAAUUUUCUUAGAACGUAAAAAAGGGAAGGAAAAGAUUAAGGAAAAUAGCUAUGCCUGAAGAAACACGUGAACGAAUAUCUAUCGGCGAUGAGAUUUAACGGCAAAAAGGUGAGCAAAGACGCCUCGGGAGCAAGGCGAGUUCAUUGGCUCGAAGAUCUUUGCCAUCGCGCUUGUUUCCUACUCUUUUUGGCACGUUGAACGAACGUUGUAUGAUUACAAUGCGAAUCGAAAGGUUGCAUCGGAUGUUGCAACACGCCAAGGAACAAAGAUUUCCAUCCGAGUCAGAGAUCUUCGCGAAUCGCACGACGUUUAAUCUUUGGAUAAAAUUUUUAUUGGUAGACUGUGUGGAUCUUCUUACGUACACGUGGAAUAAGGAACAUUAAGAACGUAGAAAUGUACAGAAAAUUUGGAACAAAAUCCUCGAAUUUAGAGGAAAAAUAUUCAAAAAGGAGAGUAGUGAUACGAAUUUCUAUUUGGAUUCUAUCUCCUUGGUUCUAUUCAUAAAAAUCUGAAUCUGUGUAAGUAAAUGCGAAGAGUCUACUUAUAACUAUCGAAUUUGAACUAUUGAUUUAAGUAAAUGAAAAUCGGAUGACAUAGCGUGCUUUGUCUAACACUGCAGUUGAAAUGUAUUGCUGUCAUUCGCUUCAUUUGGGUCAUACCAAUUUUAAGUUUCACGACACAGUUAAGUAAUUCUUCAGACUUAUAAGGACUUGAUCACGUCGAUACUGUAUAUGGAUACAUAUAUACUGGAAUCUCGUAUACUUUCAUUCGUAAGCGCAACUUCGUCGAUGACACGAAGCAAACGACUGAACAAAAUAUCAUAAAACUGGUAAAAAACGACGAUGGAACUUGCGAAUGCUAUUAUUAUCAACCCUAAAAGCCACGAUACGAAUCUACGAUAAAAAUAGUACUGCCAGCAUCUAAAAAUCGAUCUGAAGCGAUCUUGGAAUAUCUACAUGUGUCUAUUAAAGAAGCUUUAUCUCCAGCAACAAAAGGUUAAAUAAAUCAAAGAAGAUAAUCAUAAACUGCGUAUCAGUCACCUCUACGUUCAUGGUAGAAAUUUUACUUCUAUUUUAAAAGCCGCCAUGUAGAAUCCAGUGAUCCAUCGGUAUCAUCGUUCAGAAACGAAGAAACGAAAAGAGCAAACGACGGCAACGCCGAACAGACACGUGCUGCACCGAAACACGUUUCGUCGUUCCGCUUCGGUAUCGAUUGCUGAUAGAGAGGCUACGAGGGCUAACAGUCAUAAUAUUUAAGCCAAUAACCGCGUACAAUCCGAUUAUCCCGAUAGACGACCGUAAAAAUUUCAUU